AUACGGAGGGGGCCAGCGUUGUCCGGAAUCAUUGGGCGUAAAGGGCGCGUAGGCGGAAUGGUAAGUCAGGGGUGAAAAUUCUGAGCUUAACUCAGUACCUGCCCUUGAUACUGCUAUUCUUGAGUUCGAGAGGGGAAAGUGGAAUUCCCGGUGUAGCGGUGAAAUGCGUAGAUAUCGGGAAGAACACCAGUAGCGAAGGCGGCUUUCUGGCUCGUAACUGACGCUGAGGCGCGAAAGCGUGGGGAGCAAACAGGAUUAGAAACCCCAGUAGUCC
rnacentral:rRNA from 1 species